rnacentral:rRNA from 1 species
GACGAACGCUGGCGGCGUGCUUAACACAUGCAAGUCGAACGGAAAGGCCCUGCUUUUGUGGGUUGCUCGAUUGGCGAACGGGUGAGUAACACGUGAGUAACCUGCCCUUGUCUUUCGGAUAACUUCAGGAAACUGGGGCUCAUACCGGAUAUGAGCUCCUGCUGCAUGGUGGGGGUUGGAAAGUUUCGGCGGUUUGGGCUAGUCUCGCGGCUUAUGAGCUUGUUGGUGUGGUAGUGGCUUACCAAGGCUUUGACGGGUAGCCGGCCUGAGAGGGUGAACGGCGACAUUGGGACUGAGAGAGGGCGCAGACGCCAACGGGAGGCAGCAGGGGAGAAUAUGGCAGAAUGGGCGGAAGCCUGAUGCAGAAACGCCGCGUGCGGGAUGACGGCUUUCGGGGGGUAAACAGCUUUCGCCUGUGACGAAGAGGGAGUGACGGUAAUGAGUAAAGAAGCAACGGCUAACUACGUG